rnacentral:rRNA from 1 species
UACAGAGGGUGCGAGCGUUGUCCGGAAUCACUGGGCGUAAAGGGCGCGUAGGUGGUUGGGUAAGCGUGUGGUGAAAGCGCGGGGCUCAACCCCGCGUCGGCCAUUGAUACUGCCGCGGCUCGAGCACUGCAGAGGCAGGCGGAAUUCCGGGUGUAGCGGUGGAAUGCGUAGAGAUCCGGAAGAACACCGGUGGCGAAGGCGGCCUGCUGGGCAGUUUAGCUGACACUGAGGCGCGACAGCGUGGGGAGCAAACAGG